UGGCCAAUCAGAAUUGAGAAACACGAGGGAUAUUGACAUUUUGUGAGCGUGUGUCGCAGUUCAAUCCAAGCGAGCUAACUGAAUUACCUGGUGACAUUUCUAAUAGUGCCACGUCGUAUUCCAGAUUAUCUAGGACAACUGUAGAAUCUACAAUGUUUUAAAACACAUGGUACAGAAUGACAAGGAUAUUUGAUUAAGUAGUAAAACAGCAACAACUGUAAAACAAGCAACGAAAGGAAUCAAUUACUGUACGAUAUUUUAAACUGGACUGGAAUUGACGUCUUUCAACCGUGUCCAAAACUCAUGUAGCUUUUCUAAUAAUGAGAUUAUUAAAUCUUUGAUCAUAAUUCUUCUUUUUCUUCUUGGCGUGUCUCGGAGAAUCAUAUUAUUGAUGACCAGUGGGACUACGCCAUCGACAGAAUUUUCUGUGGCGAUAUACAGAGGCUUAUUUUCAGCCAUAAAUGCAAACACGUAUGAAUGAGAGAGAGGCGGCGGUGAAGGUGGCUGACCGCAAAUCUAAUUUGAAGCAGAUGUCACACCUCAAAUUGCUCCAGUUUAGGUCAUAGUCACAAUUUUGGCUUGAAAUGUUUGCAGGAUGUAUGACGCGAUGUGUCCUACAUUCCCCGUAUAGUGUCGUGAUUUCGGUAAAAUAUUUUCUUACUUUAAAUUACGUUUUGUAUAGUAGUAAUUAGUUUUUGCUCCGCUCGCGAACGUUCACAUGGAAAUUGUUUAAAUUAAAUCCAUAGUUCACAAGUUCGUAGAUAUAAAGGGAGACAGAUUAUAAAGAUCCCUCAUCUUUCUCUAAUAGAUUCUUAAAUAUAUACGUUUUUUAUAUAUGGAGAUAGAAUAUAUAUAUA